GAUGAACGCUGGCGGCGUGCUUAACACAUGCAAGUCGAACGAAGCACUUUAUUUGAUUUCCUUCGGGACUGAUUAUUUUGUGACUGAGUGGCGGACGGGUGAGUAACGCGUGGGUAACCUGCCUUGUACAGGGGGAUAACAGUUGGAAACGGCUGCUAAUACCGCAUAAGCGCACAGCAUCGCAUGAUGCAGUGUGAAAAACUCCGGUGGUAUAAGAUGGACCCGCGUUGGAUUAGCUAGUUGGUGAGGUAACGGCCCACCAAGGCGACGAUCCAUAGCCGACCUGAUAGGGUGACCGGCCACAUUGGGACUGAGACACGGCCCAAACUCCUACGGGAGGCAGCAGUGGGGAAUAUUGCACAAUGGGCGAAAGCCUGAUGCGGCGACGCCGCGUGAGCGAAGAAGUAUUUCGGUAUGUAAAGCUCUAUCAGCAGGGAAGAUAAUGACGUUACCUGACUAAGAAGCACCGGCUAAAUACGUG
rnacentral:rRNA from 1 species